UUACGCCAUUCCGUUUCAUUGACAUGCAAUCUCUGAGGGAGUUAUAUUCAACACAGGCAGCGUUUUGGCACUAAAUAGGAUACAGAAUGGGUCGACACAGAUCACGUGAUGUCCUGCACUUUUAGCCCGGGGCUGCAACGGAAGUGUGCCGCAGUCAAGCAAAGAUUUGUUGCGUAGAAACGAACAAAAACGCGUUGUUAUUUGCGAAUUUUGCAGUGGAUCGUUCAAAUCUCAAGCGGACUUCAUGAUAUAAGUUCGUUUUUCAGGUGAAUACAACUCGCAAAACAACCAAAUCAACCCAAAGGAGAGCUAUCUUGUUUUAAAAGUUCAGAAACACUUAAAAACGACAUAAGCAUGAAUGGAUAAGUCAGGAUACAAAAACUAGGAGAAAUGCUGUCGAAAAUAUACAGUUUUCUCCAUCUAUGGUUUUGUAAUUUUAGUGGAUUAUCUGUUAUGGAAAUAAUAUCAAGUUAUGAAAACUUGAAAUUGUGACAUUAUCUUGUUAACUCUCCAGUUUUGUAUUUAUUUUUGUCCACUAACUCAUCGCUUUGGAAAUGUUUUGAUUUAGCCCAUUCACCCAUCUCGUGAUUGGCACCACCUAGCUGUAGGCCACGCCCACUCUGGAAAUUGUUCACAUUGUGCAAAAGGGAAAUUCGCCGGAAUAGCAUUGUGUAGGCGCGAGACGGAACUAGGCAACAGAAAGGGAAAUCAACACGAAUUUAUUAAGUGACUGCGGGAAUUGUGUUUGUGAGUUUAUGAUGUGUCAUGUCAGCGAGGCCUUUGGCGAGCAUAUAUAACCAGAUCAUCUGCGCAACUGGAUAGGCGGGGAGACGAUCGAAUCAUAAAGGGAAAAUUCGAUAAUUUACGAAAGGAUUAAAAGUUGCCACUGUAGUUCAAAUCAAAGUUUUUAAAUAGUUUUUUUUCGGAUACAGAUCCUAGUCGAAUUGAGAAAGAUUUUUUUUCAUUUCUGUGUGUUUUUUUAGAGAAGAAUACGAAGGAAGGCGUUGAAGUUGAACUUCAAACUACAAUUUGGGAUUUAUUUCGGAGACACAAGAUAUUUUUUGUUGUUAAUAUUCUUCAAUAAUACAAAUCUCAAAGGAUUUUUUAAGCGAUAUCGAGACUUGAGACACUUGUCUCUUCGGGUUGCCUCUUAAGGGGAUAGAAACAUUUUCGGAUUUUACCUUAAGGAAGUACCACUCGCAUAGGGAAAUACAUACCGUACUAAAAGGGAAAUACUUAAGUUUAAUUAGUCGGUAGGAUUUCUUAGGAUAAAAAAUGAAGACUUUUUGUUUAUUGUGUAUUUUGGUGACGGCGAUUGCGACUUUGAUAUCUGGACAAUACUAUGACGACACUGCUGUAUACUCCAACGAAGAUCCAUACGAGCAUAAUGCAUUCAACCUCAUGAAAAACCGACUCCAACGAAUAAACCAGUUACUACAAUUAAACAAAAAUAUGGACGGCCCUCGACCACCGGACAGUUCGAUUCAGCUACCACAGAAGCGAGGUGUGCGGGAAUGCAUUGUGAGAUGUCUGCAGCGAAAAACGCUGAAUUUCCUUGGAUGCAAGGCCAUGUGUCACUGAUCAAUGUGAUGCCACCAUCUUUGUGUCACGUGACCCGGUACCGGAAGUCACAUGACUACGAUGGUGACGGGACCGGAAAUCAGUUGAGUAGACCCGUGGAUUACAAUUUACGUGAAAACGUGGAACGAAGGGAACGAAAUGUAAAUAGUGUGUAUUUUGGAAAUAUUUUUAUCUCGGUCUGUGUGCAAUGUUCAAGCUCUUACAAGUUACGUCCAAAGUUUUCUGGAUUAACGUUAGGUGUCGCUUUACAGGUUAGUCAGAAGUUUCCGAUAUUACCGUUAGAUGUCGCUUUGGAACAAGCUGAAAUAAUGUGGAUUACGAAGUGUACCUUUCCUGGUAAAAGGAGUAUAAUAUUGUCACUUAAACAGUCAGCCAUGUUUUCAUUGCAAGACAUUUCCUGUCACACAGUUCCAGGGAUUACCGUAUGAUGUCGCUAUGAGACAAACUAAACUGGUGUCAAUGGAUUACAAUCGUCAGCAAAUUGCAGAUUUUACGAUCAAUAGUGUACUGCCAAAUACAAUUGUCAACCAUAUUUUUAUUACAGGAUACUGUUAGUCGCAAAAUUUUCGUGACCGUUAUAAUUUGGCGGAUUAAUUUCUCGAAUAACAUGUCAUUAUUCUAACUCUGAAGGUCACAUCAACAAAUUGGGCAACCCACCAUAACCGACAUGUUAGCAAUUUAUUUAGACCGACAUUUAGCUAUAUUUAAUGCUGCUCCGAAAUUCUAAUUCACUUCUUGCAGUUUAAAGUAAAAUCAGCCUUUACAAAAAAACUUGAUUGAUUGCCAACUACUAAUUUGAUGUGGCCUGAUUCCAAUCUCCCAAUGAGAGGACAAGGUUCCAUUUGCUGCCCGGAAGUGACCAACCGGAAGAGGCCAAAUGUACGCUGUAUCACUGAGCAACCGUUACCAACGGCGAGACAAGGAGAUUGGCCUGAGUUAUGUACACAAGUAGAGCUAACUUUAUCUUGCGUGGCUGGCCCUGGUUAUUCAAAAUAUGUACAGUCAAUAACUCGGCGUUAUCUUUAACUUGGCGUUAUCUCCUUCAUUCAAGUUUAUAAAGUUAACGCCAAAUUAGUGACUUACCAGUGUUGGAUAGCCGGGUCCUGGUACGCAAAAAUGUAUCUUGUCUAAAAUGUUUUCUUUCUGCAUGCAAACAAAGCCCUACUUCUCCGAUAUCUUCCAAUGCAAUGCGUAUAGAUACAAUGCAAGACUCGAUCAUCAUUCCAUCUCAAAUUUAGAAGAGAAGUGAAUUCGAGUUGGUGCAAAUUACGUCGUUCGUGUUUCGUGGAUCGAAACGCUUCCACGAGUACCAAGUGCUUAGUGCAUCCCCAUCGUGACCCCCAUGCAUCGCAUCCCGAAGUGGCCCCAUGUCGUCCCUCUCGUGUUUAGAUACUUGGUGCUGUGACGCAGGCUGCCUUCAAUCCUCACACAGUGAUUUAACUAGCGCGCCUUUUCACAAGCGCAGUGAUACUUCAAAAAGUUCCAGAAAAAGAUCGUGCUAAAGCGUUACGGACUAUGAAAGGCCUAUCUUAAUCGGAACCGGCGAUGGGUUAUCCUAAAACCAUUAUCAUACCAGGCAAAGGAAGUACACUAAGACGACGGUCGCCAAUAAUUCAACCAAAUUAAUAUUGAUGCGUAUUCCUUGUUUUUCUGAUACAUGUUCGCAAAGUAAUCUACUUAGAACACUCGUUGAUACCUGAAUUACUCUUUCAUGCACCAAAUAAAUAGAGAGAUUUAGCAAAAGCCCGAUGUGCGUGUACGUUUUUAAAAUGAAUGAUAAGGGCGACGACGUCAAAUUGAUAAAUUAUUCCGUAUCAGAUGGCACUUAAAGUUUGUGACUACCAUACAUCUAAUCUUGGAAGCCCCAUCCCAAAAUGAAAAAAAAUAAAAGGAAUUGAAUGGGGCCAUUUGACCACUUUCACUGAGAGCGAGUGGAGCCAAGUUUUGACCACAUCGAAUGACACAUUAUCGAAUCAUGUGGAAAUUGGACACGUAUAUCGUUGCGUUGCUAAACCUCUCUAUUGUGUUAUUUACUCGUAGUUUGAAAAGCAAAUGUCCAGUUAACUUUGGUAGCACCGUAACUCUGUGAUAAGAAGAAGAGGGGAUGUGAAUAAAGUGAAGUCUAAAUGAAA